rnacentral:sRNA from 1 species
GCUGGGCACAGUGGCAUAUGCCUGUAAUCCCAGCUACUCAGGAAGUUGAGGGAAGAAGAUCACUUUAGCCCAGGAGUUUGAAGCCAGCCUGACAACACAGAAAGACCUCUUUCAA